CACGGGGGGAGCAAGCGUUGUUCGGAAUCACUGGGCGUAAAGGGCGUGUAGGCGGUCGAGUAAGUGGGAUGUGAAAUGCCUCGGCUUACCCGGGGACCGGCAUCCCAAACUGCUUGGCUUGAGUAUGGGAGAGGAUGAGGGAAUUCCUGGUGUAGCGGUGAAAUGCGUAGAUAUCGGAAAGAACACCAACGGCGAAAGCACUCUGCUGGGCCGACACUGACACUGAGAGACGAAAGCUAGGGGAGCGAAUGGG
rnacentral:rRNA from 1 species